AUUAAACGCUGGCGGCAUGCCUUACACAUGCAAGUCGAACGGCAGCACGGGGGCAACCCUGGUGGCGAGUGGCGAACGGGUGAGUAAAGCAUCGGAACGUGCCCUGGAGUGGGGGAUAACGUAGCGAAAGUUACGCUAAUACCGCAUAUUCUGUGAGCAGGAAAGCAGGGGAUCGCAAGACCUUGUGCUUUGGGAGCGGCCGAUGUCGGAUUAGCUAGUUGGUGGGGUAAAGGCCUACCAAGGCGACGAUCCGUAGCGGGUCUGAGAGGAUGAUCCGCCACACUGGGACUGAGACACGGCCCAGACUCCUACGGGAGGCAGCAGUGGGGAAUUUUGGACAAUGGGCGCAAGCCUGAUCCAGCCAUGCCGCGUGAGUGAAGAAGGCCUUCGGGUU
rnacentral:rRNA from 1 species